AAUAAUCUGUUCACUCCGCGCAUCAUAUAGAGAGCUCCCUCUUUGAAGUCUCUUUCCAAAGCAGGAAUCAUCAAAGUUUUGGUACUGGCAUCCGGAAUGGACAUUUUUUGUUGGAAAUUUAUUCCCUAGCCAAUUGUGACACAUAUUUUAUUUUAAUGUACAGUACUACAGUCCAAUCUAAAUUUGCAUACAUGACAUCCCGAUUUUAGUCUUACCAACCUUGACCGAUUGUAAAACAAACUGCAGAAAAGGUUGAAACUAAAUAGACGGGGUUUUGAACAAAUUCACGAAUUAAAUUUACAAGUUACGCGUUUACUUUGUCCUUGUACACUCCUCACUGUGCACGGUAUUCGAGAAACUUCUACAAGCGAGUGUGAGUGGGCAGUGGAAAAUGUGAAACGUACUGUGACAAGUUAUCGUCGCAUAUAAAAUAAUCGAGAUUAGUUACGCCGAUUAUUUUUAAUUACCCUUUAUUCUUUACACAAACUCGCAUUUUUCGUGACUUACCACCUACGAAAUUCGGGCCACAUGAUAGGGAAGCAUUUCAUAUCUACGAAACCGUGUUUUUUACAUCUCAUAGUAAUAAGUCGCGAGUGAUAUAAGUAAUAUAACCUUCGAUUUUUUUCUUUCCGUCCCUUUUUCAUGCCACAAUUCAUUUUUUUAAAUCCUCUUUUUUGAAGUUGUUGUUUUUUGUAAAGUAAAGAUGGCGCCAGCACCGCAUUGAAUUUUCAUAUUUCAAAGUCUGUUGCAGUGUUGUUGUUUUCCAGUCCUGACCCUGAGUGGCCAGCCAGCGGUUCAUCGCGGUUCCGGUUCAUCGCGGUUCCAGCCCAGCGGUUCAUUGAAUCAUCGUACCUUGUAAAAACAUUGGACUUGAACGCUGGACUCGUGCCCGAAUUUCUCCUCAACUUAUUUCGGGCGAUAUUCCACUGAUCCUUUGGACACGAAAUUUCGUUUAGAACGUGUGAUGGAGUAGAGGCCUCUACAAGUCGGGUGGGGCAGCAGCGACAGUUGUAAAACGGGAAGUUGCCAGAUGGUGAGUUGCUCAUAGUGGCUCAUAGCAGCAAGGCCAUGGAAAUAAAUCCUGGGACACGCUCGUCACGCUUGGCAACACGCUAAUGCCCGGCUUCACUUUUACAGCCUACUAACCAAUACGAAAUGGACACGAGUGGAACCAAUUGACGGCGGCGGGAAAUCUGUUUUCUUUCAAAUUCUCGAUAGUUUGGUUCGACAACUGACGGCUAUCAAAGCUGCCUACGACAUCGAGCAAGUUCAAGUGCAUCACUCGCAUGAAAGAGAAUAAUUAACUACCAACAUUACCUGUUAUCUAAAGAGACAUGCGGGCUCACGAUAGUCAAAUGCCUUAGAAUUGUUUUAAAAAAAUGCCCAAAAUAUUAUUUUACUUCUAGAUUUACAUGUGCGGGAAUUGGUAAGCGGUGAUGGGUUUUAUCUUGAGUAUAAGGUCGGAUGUUUGGG